ACUCCUACGGGAGGCAGCAGUGGGGAAUAUUGCACAAUGGGGGAAACCCUGAUGCAGCCAUGCCGCGUGUGUGAAGAAGGCCUUCGGUUGUAAAGCACUUUCAGUAGGGAGGAAGGUAGUGUAGUUAACACCUGCACUAUUUGACGUUACCUACAGAAGAAGCACCGGCUAACUCCGUGCCAGCAGCCGCGGUAAUACGGAGGGGUGCGAGCGUUAAUCGGAAUUACUGGGCGUAAAGCGCAUGCAGGCGGCCUGUUAAGUCAGAUGUGAAAGCCCGGGGGCUAACUCGGAAUUGCAUUUGAAACUGGCAGGCUAGAGUCUGUAGAGGGGGUAGGAA
rnacentral:rRNA from 1 species